GACGAACGCUGGCGGCGUGCUUAACACAUGCAAGUCGAACGUGAUUUUUGUGGAAAUUCUUUCGGGAAUGGAAAUGAAAUGAAAGUGGCGAACGGGUGAGUAGCACGUGAGCAACCUACCUUACACAGGGGGAUAGCCGUUGGAAACGACGAUUAAUACCGCAUGAGACCACAGAAUCGCAUGAUAUAGGGGUCAAAGAUUUAUCGGUGUAAGAAGGGCUCGCGUCUGAUUAGCUAGUUGGAAGGGUAAAGGCCUACCAAGGCGACGAUCAGUAGCCGGUCUGAGAGGAUGAACGGCCACAUUGGAACUGAGACACGGUCCAAACUCCUACGGGAGGCAGCAGUGGGGAAUAUUGCACAAUGGGGGGAACCCUGAUGCAGCGACGCCGCGUGAGCGAAGAAGGUUUUCGAAUCGUAAAGCUCUGUCCUAUGAGAAGAUAAUGACGGUAUCAUAGGAGGAAGCCCCGGCUAAAUACGUG
rnacentral:rRNA from 1 species